UAAGGGCGCACGGUGGAUGCCUUGGCACUAGAAGCCGAUGAAGGACGUUACUAACGACGAUAUGCUUUGGGGAGCUGUAAGUAAGCUUUGAUCCAGAGAUUUCCGAAUGGGGAAACCCAGCAUGAGUUAUGUCAUGUUAUCGAUAUGUGAAUACAUAGCAUAUCAGAAGGCACACCCGGAGAACUGAAACAUCUUAGUACCCGGAGGAAGAGAAAGAAAAUUCGAUUCCCUUAGUAGCGGCGAGCGAAACGGGAAGAGCCCAAACCAACAAGCUUGCUUGUUGGGGUUGUAGGACACUCUAUACGGAGUUACAAAGGACGACAUUAGACGAAUCAUCUGGAAAGAUGAAUCAAAGAAGGUAAUAAUCCUGUAGUCGAAAAUGUUGUCUCUCUUGAGUGGAUCCUGAGUACGACGGAGCACGUGAAAUUCCGUCGGAAUCUGGGAGGACCAUCUCCUAAGGCUAAAUACUCUCUAGUGACCGAUAGUGAACCAGUACCGUGAGGGAAAGGUGAAAAGCACCCCGGAAGGGGAGUGAAAUAGAACCUGAAACCGUGUGCUUACAAGUAGUCAGAGCCCGUUAAUGGGUGAUGGCGUGCCUUUUGUAGAAUGAACCGGCGAGUUACGAUUUGAUGCAAGGUUAAGCAGUAAAUGUGGAGCCGUAGCGAAAGCGAGUCUGAAUAGGGCGUUUAGUAUUUGGUCGUAGACCCGAAACCAGGUGAUCUACCCUUGGUCAGGUUGAAGUUCAGGUAACACUGAAUGGAGGACCGAACCGACUUACGUUGAAAAGUGAGCGGAUGAACUGAGGGUAGCGGAGAAAUUCCAAUCGAACCUGGAGAUAGCUGGUUCUCUCCGAAAUAGCUUUAGGGCUAGCCUCAAGUGAUGAUUAUUGGAGGUAGAGCACUGUUUGGACGAGGGGCCCCUCUCGGGUUACCGAAUUCAGACAAACUCCGAAUGCCAAUUAAUUUAACUUGGGAGUCAGAACAUGGGUGAUAAGGUCCAUGUUCGAAAGGGAAACAGCCCAGACCACCAGCUAAGGUCCCAAAAUAUAUGUUAAGUGGAAAAGGAUGUGGCGUUGCCCAGACAACUAGGAUGUUGGCUUAGAAGCAGCCAUCAUUUAAAGAGUGCGUAAUAGCUCACUAGUCGAGUGACACUGCGCCGAAAAUGUACCGGGGCUAAACAUAUUACCGAAGCUGUGGAUUGUCCUUUGGACAAUGGUAGGAGAGCGUUCU
rnacentral:rRNA from 1 species